rnacentral:misc_RNA from 1 species
GAAAUGCGAUAAGUAAUGUGAAUUGCAGAAUUCAGUGAAUCAUCGAAUCUUUGAACGCACAUUGCGCCCGCCAGUAUUCUGGCGGGCAUGCCUGUUCGAGCGUCAUUUCAACCAUCAAGCCCCCGGUCUUGUGUUGGGGACCUGCGGCUGCCGCAGGCCCCGAAAACCAGUGGCGGGCUCGCUGUCACACCGGGCGUAGUAGAUUUUUCGUCUCGCCCAGGGCGUGCUGCGGGUUCCGGCCGUUAAAAAGCCUCUCUUUUAACCCAAGGUUGACCUCGGAUCAGGUAGGAAGACCCGCUGAACUUAAGC